rnacentral:snoRNA from 1 species
UGUCCGUGAUGAGAAACCAUUUCAAUCAGUUCUGCUGCUGAACCCCUUGAUGACUCCUAAUUUACCAAACCAAGAUCUCUGAUAA